rnacentral:rRNA from 1 species
UACGGAGGGUGCAAGCGUUAUCCGGAUUCACUGGGUUUAAAGGGUGCGUAGGUGGGUUGGUAAGUCAGUGGUGAAAUCUCCAGGCUUAACUUGGAAACUGCCAUUGAUACUAUCAAUCUUGAAUACCGUGGAGGUCAGCGGAAUAUGUCAUGUAGCGGUGAAAUGUGUAGAGAUCGGGAGGAACACCGGUGGCGAAGGCGGGUCUCUGGGCAAUUCCUGACGCUGAGGCGCGAAAGCGUGGGGAGCAAACGGG